GGAAGGUGGCUUUGAGUCAGAAAGAGAGUUACUUAGUAGCAAAAGUGCUCAUCCAGUCUGCAUGCCUGGCCGUCAAGAAGAUUAAUACGGCCCUUCAAAGACUUGGAUGGAUUUGUGGACCCUGCCGUCCUUGAAACCACAGUAUCUGAAAUUCCAGCUGCCUGGGAGCUUCUCAGAGGGUUCAAGCCUACAUCCCCAGAACCUGAGAAGCAGUUCCUCCUCCAACGAGUUUUUCAAGACAAGGAUUCCUUGUGUCAG
rnacentral:sRNA from 1 species